ACCGGAGUGGUCGCCAACCCGCAAGGGAGGGAGGCCCACGACGUGGAUGGUGACUGGGGUG
rnacentral:rRNA from 1 species